rnacentral:rRNA from 1 species
UACGUAGGGUGCGAGCGUUGUCCGGAAUUAUUGGGCGUAAAGGGCUCGUAGGCGGCCAACUAAGUCGGACGUGAAAUCCCUCGGCUUAACCGGGGAACUGCGUCCGAUACUGGAUGGCUUGAGUUCGGGAGAGGGAUGCGGAAUUCCAGGUGUAGCGGUGAAAUGCGUAGAUAUCUGGAGGAACACCGGGUGGCGAAGGCGGCAUCCUGGACCGACACUGACGCUGAGGAGCGAAAGCCAGGGGAGCCAAAGCGGG